AAAUCUGCUCAAUGAAACUUUUAAUAGCCGCAAUUUCGUGCUAAGGUAGCAUAAUCAUUUGUCUUUUAAAUGAAGACUAGAACAAAAGAUUUAACAUUUCAAUUAAUUUCCUUUAAAAUAUUUCUUAAAUUAUCCUAAAAGUAAAAAGACUUUUAUAAAAAAAAAAGACGACAAGACCCUAUUGAACUUUACUUUAGUUAUACUGGGGCAGUAAAUUAAUUAUUAUUUUAAUAAUAUUCUUUUAAUAAAUAGCCACUAAACUGAUAAUUCAGUUACCAUAGGGAUAACAGCGUAAUUAAAUUUAAGAGAUCUUAUCCAAAAUUUAGAUUGCGACCUCGAUGUUGAAUUAAUAUUCUAAUUAAAGCAAAAUUUAAAACAGAAAGUCUGUUCGACUUUUAAACAAUUACAUGAUUUGAGUUCAGACCGGUGUAAGCCAGGUCGGUUUCCAUCUUUUAAAAAAAUUUUUGUAGUACGAAAGGACCUAAAAAUAAAAUUUUAUUUAUAAAAUUGGCAGAUUAAUGCAUUAGAAUUAGAAUCUAAUCAUCUAUUAAUUUUUUAAUAAAUUAUAUUCUAAUUAUUAUUAGAAUUUUAAUUAGAGUAGCUUUCUACACUAUUUUAGAGCGUAAAAUUUUAGGUUAUAUACAAAUCCGGAAAGGACCUAAUAAAGUAGGAUUUAUAGGAAUUUUACAACCCUUCAGAGAUGCUUUAAAACUUUUUAAUAAAAACCUUUUACCCUCAGAAAACAUAAACUUCGUACUAUCUUAUUCAGCACCUGCUUUAUCUUUAUUUAUUAGAAUGCUAUUAAUCCCCAUUAUUUCUUUCAACUCAUACUCUUUACUUGAUAAUAAACACAGAAUUUUAUUAUUUUUCAUUCUAUCAAGAAUUGCAGUUUAUUUUAUUCUUUUAAUUGGAUGAUCCGCAAAUUCAAAAUAC
rnacentral:rRNA from 1 species